rnacentral:rRNA from 1 species
CAGUCGAGCGGUACAGAAAGUAGCUUGCUACUUUGCUGACGAGCGGCGGACGGGUGAGUAAUGCUUGGGAACAUGCCUUGAGGUGGGGGACAACAGUUGGAAACGACUGCUAAUACCGCAUAAUGUCUACGGACCAAAGGGGGCUUCGGCUCUCGCCUUUAGAUUGGCCCAAGUGGGAUUAGCUAGUUGGUGAGGUAAUGGCUCACCAAGGCGACGAUCCCUAGCUGGUUUGAGAGGAUGAUCAGCCACACUGGGACUGAGACACGGCCCAGACUCCUACGGGAGGCAGCAGUGGGGAAUAUUGCACAAUGGGCGCAAGCCUGAUGCAGCCAUGCCGCGUGUGUGAAGAAGGCCUUCGGGUUGUAAAGCACUUUCAGUCAGGAGGAAAGGUUAGUAGUUAAUACCUGCUAGCUGUGACGUUACUGACAGAAGAAGCACCGGCUAACUCCGUGCCAGCAGCCGCGGUAAUACGGAGGGUGCGAGCGUUAAUCGGAAUUACUGGGCGUAAAGCGUACGCAGGCGGUUUGUUAAGCGAGAUGUGAAAGCCCCGGGCUCAACCUGGGAAUUGCAUUUCGAACUGGCAAACUAGAGUGUGAUAGAGGGUGGUAGAAUUUCAGGUGUAGCGGUGAAAUGCGUAGAGAUCUGAAGGAAUACCGAUGACGAAGGCAGCCACCUGGGUCAACACUGACGCUCAUGUACGAAAGCGUGGGGAGCAAACGGGAUUAGAUACCCCGGUAGUCCACGCCGUAAACGAUGUCUACUAGAAGCUCGGAGCCUCGGUUCUGUUUUUCAAAGCUAACGCAUUAAGUAGACCGCCUGGGGAGUACGGCCGCAAGGUUAAAACUCAAAUGAAUUGACGGGGGCCCGCACAAGCGGUGGAGCAUGUGGUUUAAUUCGAUGCAACGCGAAGAACCUUACCUACACUUGACAUACNNNNNACUUACCAGAGAUGGUUUGGUGCCUUCGGGAANNNNNNNNNNNNUGCUGCAUGGCUGUCGUCA